UACGGGGGGGGCAAGCGUUGUUCGGAAUUACUGGGCGUAAAGGGCUCGUAGGCGGCCAACUAAGUCAUACGUGAAAUCCCUCGGCUUAACCGGGGAACUGCGUCUGAUACUGGAUGGCUUGAGUUCGGGAGAGGGAUGCGGAAUUCCAGGUGUAGCGGUGAAAUGCGCAGAUAUCGGGAGGAACACCAAUUGCGAAGGCAGCUCGCUGGGACGAUACUGACGCUGAGGCGCGAAAGCGUGGGGAGCAAACAGG
rnacentral:rRNA from 1 species